rnacentral:tRNA from 1 species
GGAGAGGUGACGGAGUGGUUGAACGUGGCGGUCUCGAAAACCGUUGAGGUCUUCUGGCCUCCGGGGGUUCGAAUCCCUCCCUCUCCG